AACAACGAAAUGAUUGUCUUAAUAACGAACAAGUGUAUAGCCAUUAUAAUUAUUUAUAGUGCGCAGCUUCGAUUUACAUUUUUUUUUUUUUUUAAAUUAUCCAUGUAGAAAAAAACUCUUGUACUAAUCGGUUAUUGGAUAUUUUUCCCGGAAAACAUUUCCCGUUUUGAAGAAGAUUGUAAUAAUCUUAGGAACGAAAAAAAAAAAAGAAGAUAUCCCGGACCACAAAUAAGAUUAUUUAUUACCAGAGUUUUUCGGUAUACCGGAGGGAGAUAAUUUUUUUACCCGCGAUGUUUUGACCGGGUGUUUGCGCUGAAUAACACGACAUAUUGUUUCGCUUUAUUGGACCAUCAUUUGUGUGGUGGCACGGUGCGCGGCGUUUUAAUAAUGUGCCGCUACACACUCUCCCCCGACCCAAGCUUAAAAGCGGAAUGUCUCGUCAACGUAAUCGAAAAUUUCAACACCGAAAUUCGUUUUAACUGAUACUCCGUCAGCUGUUUAUGGAAUUUCCGAUACAGGUUUUCUAUCAAAAGUGGGCGGUGCGGGAAAUUCGCGGCCGAAAACAAGGGCGACAAAAAAAAUAACGCAAACGCGAAAUUAUAGGGCC